GGGAGCAGGAGCCAGCGGUGCAGCCACGAGGGCCUGUGAUGCAGCCCCUUUGGAGCCAGGUCCUGACGCUGCAUCAAGGCAUGUGAAUGAGUCCUUCUAUUAUUUAUGCAGGAGGAUAAAGGGAGCUGCUCUCCCAGCCUCCUGGGGAGGCAGAGUCUGCUUUCAGCUUCAACUCUUCUUUCCAGACAAGGAAAGUGGACACCUCAGUGUUAUCCAGGACAGAGAUAAGUGAUGGUGGUGGGGUGAAAAGGGAGUUUUGUGGGAGAACAGGGCGUUACCCUGAGACCAUCUCCGUGAGCUCACGUUGGUGUCUGUGGGUUUUACCGUGGGGUAAAUCUCACUGCUGAAAAAAAGCCUCUUGCCCUCCUGAGGGUGAUCAGACUGUUUCAGCUGGAGCAUCCUAUGGGAUAAAUCACUCCAGUGCAACCCUGAGGGGUUCUGCUCCAGCCCUCAGCUGCUCUCCACCCCCAAGGCUUUGCUACAUCCCCCUCCCAAACGUCGCUACGCGCACCUUGUCUCGAGGUCAGCCACGUUGCCAGGGUGGACUUGGCCCUUCUCCAGCUGCUGCUUCCUUCCCCCAUGCCCCCUUCCACAGUGGUGUGGAGAAACUGCAGCAAAUGUUAAUCUGCUUUACUGCUCAGUGUCCUUUCUGGGUGAUUUUCACUGGGGGAGCAGGUGGGAGAUGCUGGUGCUGAGCUGGGGCUGCUGACGCACUCUGGAAAGCCGGGCAGUUUGUGGGAUCCCUCCCUCCUGCUUCAGUUUCCCCAUCGCUUCCGUGGGGUUGGUGUGAUGAAGAUUCACGUUGAUACUCGUGUGAUUAAUGUAAUUUUCUGGUAACUGAGUCUCUUUUUUUGGCAGUUCAAGAGGAGACUUUGCUGUGGUGAGGCCAAGAAGCAGCACCCCCCAGUGCCCCAGGACUUCAGGAUGUGUUUCUCCUCAUGUAACACUUUUCCUACCGUCCCCCUGGGGCAGCUGGUGCUGGAGUCCCCCACAGCUAGAUCCCAACCCUGAUGAAAUUCAGAGGAAUUCUGCUGUGCCACUCACCCCAGGAAAAGCCUGUGGGGAAGCUGUAAUGAUGCUGCAGGUUGCAAUUCCUGGGACAAGCCAAGGAUGCUGAGUGCUGCCUCCUCUGAGCCCAGCACCCUGCUGCACUAUCCUGCCCAAAGGUGUCCGUGGGCAGGUUCUUCUCACCGCUCCAUCCACCAUUUAAAGAGCUGUAAUGAACCCAACUGCCAUCCAGGAGCUGGCUUCCAGCUGCAGCCUGGAAGAGCUGCCAUGCUCCAUUCUGCUUUCCAAACCCUCCUCAGCACCCUUCCUUGCAGCA